rnacentral:pre_miRNA from 2 species
GGUACUCAAAGUUAGGUUAUCCAUGUUGCCUUCGCGUUAUUUAUGCGAAUCAUACAUGGUUCACCUAUUUUUCAGUACC